rnacentral:rRNA from 1 species
GUAGAACGCUGAAGAGAGGAGCUUGCUCUUCUUGGAUGAGUUGCGAACGGGUGAGUAACGCGUAGGUAACCUGCCUUGUAGCGGGGGAUAACUAUUGGAAACGAUAGCUAAUACCGCAUAACAAUGGAUGACACAUGUCAUUUAUUUGAAAGGGGCAAUUGCUCCACUACAAGAUGGACCUGCGUUGUAUUAGCUAGUAGGUGAGGUAACGGCUCACCUAGGCGACGAUACAUAGCCGACCUGAGAGGGUGAUCGGCCACACUGGGACUGAGACACGGCCCAGACUCCUACGGGAGGCAGCAGUAGGGAAUCUUCGGCAAUGGGGGCAACCCUGACCGAGCAACGCCGCGUGAGUGAAGAAGGUUUUCGGAUCGUAAAGCUCUGUUGUAAGUCAAGAACGAGUGUGAGAGUGGAAAGUUCACACUGUGACGGUAGCUUACCAGAAAGGGACGGCUAACUACGUGCCAGCAGCCGCGGUAAUACGUAGGUCCCGAGCGUUGUCCGGAUUUAUUGGGCGUAAAGCGAGCGCAGGCGGUUUGAUAAGUCUGAAGUUAAAGGCUGUGGCUCAACCAUAGUUCGCUUUGGAAACUGUCAAACUUGAGUGCAGAAGGGGAGAGUGGAAUUCCAUGUGUAGCGGUGAAAUGCGUAGAUAUAUGGAGGAACACCGGUGGCGAAAGCGGCUCUCUGGUCUGUAACUGACGCUGAGGCUCGAAAGCGUGGGGAGCGAACAGGAUUAGAUACCCUGGUAGUCCACGCCGUAAACGAUGAGUGCUAGGUGUUGGAUCCUUUCCGGGAUUCAGUGCCGCAGCUAACGCAUUAAGCACUCCGCCUGGGGAGUACGACCGCAAGGUUGAAACUCAAAGGAAUUGACGGGGGCCCGCACAAGCGGUGGAGCAUGUGGUUUAAUUCGAAGCAACGCGAAGAACCUUACCAGGUCUUGACAUCCCGAUGCUAUUUCUAGAGAUAGAAAGUUACUUCGGUACAUCGGUGACAGGUGGUGCAUGGUUGUCGUCAGCUCGUGUCGUGAGAUGUUGGGUU